UAACCUCUCACCCUCUCUCUCCUUCUCGAUCUGUUCUUUUUCUCUAUGGGCUACAUCUGAAUAUAUUAGAUCAGGUUACUAAAAGUCAUAUUGCCCUGAACAAAUUGUGUGUCUUUGGUUUAUAACUCUCUGCAAUGAAAGUACUCAACGGCAAAUGAUCAUGUGCAUCUGCUCUUUUCUGAGAAUGAAAUAUGUAUCUCUCUGGAUAGAUGCCUAUGAACAAAUGUGACCAAUUAAUUGGAUUUGUUUGAUUUGUUUCAGUUUUUAGUCUGAAGAUCGCCAUUUUUUUACCUAAUACUUACUUUUGAAAGUUGCCUGCUGUCACCAAAAUGUUAGACUAGCAUACUGGAGAUUUCAAAAGUAACAGUUCGCGUGCCAUAAUAAGAACUCUAUUUUAACCUGUUGUGGUUUUAUAUCUGUGUACCUAUGCUUCCUUUGGAAUUUUGGUUUGGCUUAAUCAUUUUUCAAUAGGGCAGUGACCUGUCAGGGGUCGUGUUGAGCGGCAGCCUUGGCUAUCAGCUAUUGUUAGGCCUGGAAUCAUUAAGGAAAGUGUGAAUUGGGUGCAACCGUGAAGUCUCCAGUUCUUGGUCGCCAUCGUGGUUGUGCAACUUAUUUGAAUUUUCAUUCAUUUCUGUAGCACAGUGAUAUGAGUGACAACAAGCUCUGCACUGAAACUCGUACUUGCUCCCGGCAAUUCUGGUUCAACUUAAGGCUUUAAGGUUUUUCUCCUUUCAUAGUUAUUGUUGGCAUGGCUAAUUUCAUCCAACCGAUUUUAUGAUACUUUUGUGAUGCAGAAAUCUGCAAGGGGACGCCUUUUACCAGCGGGAUUCCUUACUCGAUACCUCAUAUUUCUGAUCUGGAGACGCUGGAUCUCUCUAUCAACCAAUUCUUAGGUAACUUGCCCUAGAGUUUCCAAUACAUCACAGGCAUCAAGACACUGCGAGGCGACUGAAUUUUAGGGAACUAUAUAUACUAGCUUUUCCUCGAUAUUCUCCUUCGGAUCAACAAAUGACCCGACCUGUCCUUCAAGGAGCACUUGUGAGCGGCUACCACGAGGUGACCAGUACACGAGCAGCUGCAUACCACAAGAGGAGCACACAGAUGAUGUAAUAUUCAGCCCAGCCCAUUGAAGAUGUAAGUACCAGUAAUAUGGUGAACAAAUACUGGUAAAAGUCCACAUUAAAAGAGUGAGAUGGUGAUGCUCGUGUCCUAGAUGGAUAAGCUGGUGACUCAUGCGCGGGCACGAUGGUGGUCCAGGUGCAAAGUUCAACCUCUGUAUAUGGGUACACAUCCUCCUCGCCGAGCCCCAAGUUCAACCUCUGACUGGGUACACAUCCUCCUUGCUGAGCUCAAUCUCAAGAAGUACCUUUGGUUGCUCUACAACACCAACAUCAAUGCGUUGGUUUGGCCAUGUUCUUCUGUGUAUUCUUUUUAUGGACAAUUUUUGUUUGUGGUGAGAUGGGGAGGUGCAAAGUGAGGAUGACUUUGACAUGUAAAUCUCACGGAAUAUAACAAAGCAUGCUUGCAUACUAUCAUAGCCUACAAAUGAUAUGAUAGAUGAUACUGGUUCUGUUGUGUUAUCAGACUUGUUAUGGUCCAUAACAUUACUGCUUUGAUUCUUCUGUGGAUCAAGUCAUAUUAUCCAUCGACCGGCUGUACCCUUUUGGAUAUCUUCAUACAAGAAACAAAAGCCAAGGCAAAACAUUGUCAGUUGUACUGUAUUUUGAAGAACAUUCUUACUGUUCUGACUGAAAAUAGAAUAUUGUUUUAACCUACUAUGAAUACUUUCAUAUUCUGCUUACACAAACAUUGCUUUGACCCACAUGUGAGCAGCGCUUUGCUCCGGCUAUUCUCCUUGAUAUUAUUAAGUGUUAUUUUUAUAUUGUUUUUAAAUGCUUUUGACUAUUGCUUUUUUUACAUCGUUUGAACUUAUGUUCUAUGAAACUGUAUAUUUGUAUAUAUGCACACCAUAAAAAUUCUUCCCUACCUAUCACUUCCUGUGCUAAAAUUGCUUGCAUACCACUUAGCUCAUCUUUUACAACGACUAUUCAUUUGAUGCUAUGGUAUGCAACCCCUCGUCCUAUAAGGCUUAAAUGUCCUACAUCAGCAUCAAAGUUUUUGGAUUUAGGAUCCUACACUUUUGUAACUCCCAAAGAUGUUGGCCCAUUUUAUCUUAUGAUCAUGCAUUCUCCGUAUGUAUGCCAGAUAGACCAAUUCCUAUAAGUAACUAAAUGCAUUUUAUACCCAACUUUAUUAUCCUCUAAACAAUCAUCGUUAUGAUAUAUGUUUUCAAGAUGCUGAAAUCAUCUUUAUUAACAUUUCAAUGCCCUAUUUGUUUGCCCGCCGUUCGGCGGGCAACGUGCGGCAAGCCGCGCCUCCUACAGUUACAGCUGGAUCUCUUUGAUUUUUCAUCAGUUUUCUAGGAAUGUAAUUGAAAUAAUACAUCAAGGUUGUCAUGUUGGCGACCGGGCGUGACGAGCCAAAGCCGCUUGAUGAACUAUUGGUGUGUGCCACUUCUGCGGGUUUUUUCUUUGAUGCCACCUCAGUAGUUAAAACAAUGACGGCUCCAAUGCCUAUGCUGCUUCUUUGCUUCAAAUUAUAGCAUUUGUUUUUAGUUUGACCGAUUUUGAAUUAUGAAACCCACUCACUCACCGAAUAUGCUCGACCUCUUCCUCCUUGGUGCUCGGCAGGAGGAGCUCAGGCUGCCACCACACAAAGGGAGAGGAAGCCAAGAUGAAUCAGUCCCGGCUUAUUGUCUGUGACCCGACGACAGAUACAACUACUUCGGGCCUAGGCGAGCAGCCGCCAGCCCUGCAUUUCAAUCCUAGGAUUUCUCAACGCUGAUUUUAUUAAGACAUUAAAAACCAAUAAUACUAAAGUAUUCCUUGUGUCCAGAGGUUUCCGGCAAAUGAUCAAGGUAUAUCUUCACUAAACGGCUGCACGAACGGUACAUUUGGAAUCUGGAUUAUCAGAACAUAGUCAAAUUUUCCUGUCCUGGAAACAUUUUCAAAUUUUGUGACAUACACACACCAAGAUGCUUUUAAGAUAUCCAUAGUUUAAAUACAGAAAUUGGUUCUAAAUUUUCUGUCUAUAUUAUUUGUUGAACAGUAAACAAGGACAUGUUUCUUCCAUGAUCUAAAAGCAACAAUUCCUCUUUUCUUCACUUUAGAACAUUUUGAAUUUAAUUUUGUGACUGAAGUUUCACAUAGUGGUCAACAGAGGUGUAUUUAGGUCCAAACUUACAGAGCUGUAACAACAGAGGUGUAUUUAACCGAACUAAUGUUACCUUAUUUAAAAUUUUGCUCGAGUUUAAACAUUCACAGAGACCUAAUUAAGAUUGAUUAAACUGUUCUUAUAUUAUAUGCUUGUUGGCGAAGUAUCAAGUGAAAAUGGUCAUUCAAUGAAAACUGGAAAACUUUCCUCGUACGCCUUUGGAUCACGAAUGUAUGGUAUAGAUCAGAGGUGGGAAUGCCACCAGCCACUUAACCACACUUUUCCCGAGAACCCCCUGCCCGUACGUGCUAGCUUGGUAAGUGUUCAGAAAAAAAACAUAUCAUGUUCAAUCUGUGCCGCCAUGGAGCCUCGUCCCAUGCCGAUUGCCAUGUGCGUUGGCCCUCCGGCGGACGUGUGCCCUAGCUCUCCAACGGCUCCAUCCUCAAGCACUCUUCCUCGCCCUCCAAUGGUUCCGUCCAGGAGAGCUCCCCCUCCGCCGGCAGUGAUCCCCCACCUUUCGCCGGCCCCGACCAUGAUUCAGAUGCUUGAAUGUUAAUUGACAACCUUUGGAAGAGGAAGAAAUUCUACCAAGGGUUCUUCUUGAGUAUGUUCUUGGUGAUGCAAAUCGGCUGACACAUGUAUUUUACUAGGAGAUUAUCAUUUUCUAGGAUUAUGAUGCAGUCCUGAAUGACAACUUAGAUGGCCUUGUAUCUCUGAAUAUUUGUACUGAAGCUCAUUGGUACUCAUGCCGACAUUUUGCUAGGAGAUUAUCAUUUUAUCUCUGAAUAUUUAUACUGAAGCACAUGUGUUGGAUGAAUUUUAGAUGGCCUUGUAUCUCUGAAUAUUUGUACUGAAGCUCAUGUGUUGAAUCAAUUUUAGAUGGCCUUGUAUCUCUGAAUGUUUGUACUAAAGCUCUUGGAAGCUUGUGUCAAUAUUUUGCCAGGAGAUUAUCAUUU